rnacentral:rRNA from 1 species
CACGGGGGGAGCAAGCGUUGUUCGGAAUCACUGGGCGUAAAGGGCUCGUAGGCGGUUUGUCGCGUCGGGAGUGAAAACUCAGGGCUUAACCCUGAGCCUGCUUCCGAUACGGGCAGACUAGAGGUAUGCAGGGGAGAACGGAAUUCCUGGUGUAGCGGUGAAAUGCGCAGAUAUCAGGAGGAACACCGGUGGCGAAGGCGGUUCUCUGGGCAUUACCUGACGCUGAGGAGCGAAAGUGUGGGGAGCGAACAGG